UACGAAGGGGGCUAGCGUUGCUCGGAAUCACUGGGCGUAAAGGGAGCGUAGGCGGACUUUUAAGUGAGAUGUGAAAUACCCAGGCUCAACCUGGGGGCUGCAUUUCAAACUGGAAGUCUAGAGUGCAGGAGAGGAGAGUGGAAUUCCUAGUGUAGCGGUGAAAUGCGUAGAGAUUAGGAAGAACACCAGUGGCGAAGGCGACUCUCUGGACUGUAACUGACGCUGAGGCUCGAAAGCGUGGGGAGCAAACAGG
rnacentral:rRNA from 1 species